rnacentral:rRNA from 1 species
AUCCAGACUCCUACGGGAGGCAGCAGUGAGGAAUAUUGGUCAAUGGACGCAAGUCUGAACCAGCCAAGUAGCGUGCAGGAUGACGGCCCUCCGGGUUGUAAACUGCUUUUAGUUGGGAAUAAAAGGGGGCUCGUGAGCCCCGUAUUGUAUGUACCAUCAGAAAAAGGACCGGCUAAUUCCGUGCCAGCAGCCGCGGUAAUACGGAAGGUCCGGGCGUUAUCCGGAUUUAUUGGGUUUAAAGGGUGCGUAGGCGGACUGGAAAGUCAGCGGUAAAAUCGAGAGGCUCAACCUCUUUCCGCCGUUGAAACUGUCGGUCUUGAGUGGGCGAGAAGUAUGCGGAAUGCGUGGUGUAGCGGUGAAAUGCAUAGAUAUCACGCAGAACUCCGAUUGCGAAGGCAGCAUACCGGCGCCCGACUGACGCUGAGGCACGAAAGCGUGGGUAUCGAACAGGAUUAGAUACCCUGGUA